rnacentral:piRNA from 1 species
UAAAAUUAUACCAAUGUCCCUACCCUUAAAA